GGACUGAGCGACAGAACGCAGCGGGACGGGAAGGGAUGGGGGAGAGCGAGGUCGGCGCGCGCCUCCCAGCCCAGGCGCGGCCGAGACCAGUGGAGACGCAGCCUGUAAGCAGGAGCUGUCCCACAGACACAACAUAAGCAGCAGCAGGAAGAAAUGACACAAGGUAGAAUAGUUGCUUAACAACUUUGAGCAGGAUCCUCUGAGAAUGCUCCAAAAUGAAGGACUCCCCCCAUAAUCCCCAAAGGUUGGCUUAACCCACGUUCCUGAGACCAAAACAGCCUGAGAGGAGAAGGAUCUACCGAACCAGGGGCCUGACCAACUACAGGCCCAAGACAGAGUAUGGCUGGGGCUACCUGAACAUGCACACUGCGCCUGAACAAGCAGUGGUUGAGAGAAAGAAGAGAACUGCUCGGUUGCUCUCAGCCACAAAGAUGAUAUCUGUGGCUCCACUAGCCAGGAAAGAACCAACUGCUAGCCAUGUGGCUUCCCUUGUACCAGGGGACCCCAAAGAGUGACCUCUCCAUUUCACAGUGAGAGAUACCCCACCUUCCUACCAAGCUCCAAGCACAAGGCUGAGUGUAUGGAUUUCCAUACUUUUCCCUUUCAUUCCUUAUUCCCACCCAUACCACUUCUAAUUUCACUCUAUCCUUUCCCUUUAUAAAAUGUUAGUUUCUUCUUA